GCCCUGACAGCUCUUUUCUGCAGGAUUUUCAGCUCAGUUGUGCUGAUUGAAGAUGUCUGCAAUUCUCAAGCACAGAAAAGAGAACAAGCAGGGAGGGAUUGAGUGUGACAGAAUUAACUGUGGCUCAAGUUCGAAGAUCUAAA
rnacentral:lncRNA from 1 species